rnacentral:rRNA from 1 species
UUAUAUAUUGGGGGGGGGGGGGGGGGACAAAAAAAAACACUAGUUGGGGGGGAAAAAAACCGCCGCAUCUUUUUUAUAAUAUCCCCCGCCCUUUACCCCCCCCCUUUACCGGGGGGGGAAAAAAGCGGGGGGGGGGUUUUUUUUUGGGACCCUCCCCGGGGUUUUUUAAGAAUGAACCCCUUGCGGUUUAGAUUUAAAGUAUAGUUGGGGGGGGGGAAAAUGGCCCUCCCACAAGGGGGGAGGAUUUUAAAAGGUGGUUUUGGAAAGGGAGGAUUUCAACCCCCCUGGGGGAUUGGGGACCCGGCCCCAGACUUCUUUCGGGAGGGCCAGCCGUGGGGAAAUAUUGGACAAAUGGGGGAAAGCCUGAUCCACCAAUUCCCACGUGUGUGAAGAAGCCUGGAGGGUUGUAAAAGCACUUUCAAUUGGGAGGAAACCAGCUGGGUUAAUAGCCCUGCUCUUGACAUUACCUUCAGAAGAAGCACCGGCUAACUCCGUCCCAGCAGCCGCGGUAAUACGGAGGGUGCGAGCGUUAAUCGGAAUUACUGGGCGUAAAGCGUACGUAGGCGGUUAUUUAAGUCAGAUGUGAAAGCCCCGGGCUCAACCUGGGAACUGCAUUUGAUACUGGAUAACUAGAGUUUGAUAGAGGAGAGUAGAAUUUCUGGUGUAGCGGUGAAAUGCGUAGAGAUCAGAAGGAAUACCAGUGGCGAAGGCGGCUCUCUGGAUCAAAACUGACGCUGAGGUACGAAAGCGUGGGUAGCAAACAGGAUUAGAUACCCUGGUAGUCCACGCCGUAAACGAUGUCAACUAGCCGUUGGGUCCAAUUAAGGACUUAGUGGUGCAGCUAACGCAUUAAGUUGACCGCCUGGGGAGUACGGCCGCAAGGCUAAAACUCAAAUGAAUUGACGGGGGCCCGCACAAGCGGUGGAGCAUGUGGUUUAAUUCGAUGCAACGCGAAGAACCUUACCUACCCUUGACAUACUAAGAACUUUCCAGAGAUGGAUUGGUGCCUUCGGGAGCUUAGAUACAGGUGCUGCAUGGCUGUCGUCAGCUCGUGUCGUGAGAUGUUGGGUUAAGUCCCGUAACGAGCGCAACCCUUAUCCUUAUUUGCCAGCACGUAAUGGUGGGAACUCUAAGGAGACUGCCGGUGAUAAACCGGAGGAAGGUGGGGACGACGUCAAGUCAUCAUGGCCCUUAUGGGUAGGGCUACACACGUGCUACAAUGGCCGGUACAGAGGGCUGCGAACCUGCGAAGGUAAGCGAAUCUCAGAAAGCCGGUCUUAGUCCGGAUUACGGUCUGCAACUCGACUGCAUGAAGUCGGAAUCGCUAGUAAUCGCGAAUCAGAAUGUCGUCGUUUGCCCCCUUU